AGCGAACGCUGGCGGCAGGCCUAACACAUGCAAGUCGAGCGCCCGGGCAACCGGGAGCGGCAGACGGGUGAGUAACACGUGGGAACAUGCCCUUCGGUUCGGAAUAACUCAGGAAACUUGAGCUAAUACCGGAUACGUCCGUAAGGAGAAAGAUUUAUCGCCGAAGGAUUGGCCCGCGUCUGAUUAGCUAGUUGGUGGGGUAAUGGCCCACCAAGGCGACGAUCAGUAGCUGGUCNGAGAGGAUGAUCAGCCACACUGGGACUGAGACACGGCCCAGACUCCUACGGGAGGCAGCA
rnacentral:rRNA from 1 species